AGCCGGGUUGCGUCCGUCCACCUGAGGUCAUGGAUGGGAUCGAUCCCAGCGACCGGAGGAGCGGGAUCAAGGGGAAGACGAGUCCAUCCGGUCGAUCUCAGCGAUCGGCGGAGCAGGAUCCGGGUCGAGCCAAUCCAAUCCAGAGGUGUGAGUUGCGGGCGAGGGAGAGACACCUGGUGUACUGUACUGGCCUAUUACCAUUCCUUCAUUUGCUUGAUGGCUGGUAAAGUCGCAAACCUCGCAGGUGCUAUGCGUUGGCAAUUGAUUUGAGCAUAUUCUGCAGCUUCCUAUUGUCCAUUCUUGUGCUCAGUCGUUCAUCAUCUGAAAUGACUUGUGGACAGGUUGAUGCUAUGCUUCAGGAAUUGGAAAAGGAGAUUGAUGAUGUGGAUGCACAAGUCAGAAACCGCUGGCAACUGCUUGAUAGGCUGCCAAUGUAUUGGAUAGGCCUAGAUGAAGGAGCAAUCAUCAAGCCACCCGCUCAUCAGGUGGUGGAAUGCCUGCUUGGUGGCUUCCCAUUCAUUCGCAGGAAUCAUCAUGUUCAACUUGGUACUGAGUUGAUCCUGCAAGCCAAUGAAGAUUCAGACGAUGUGGUUGCUCUGGAGGCUUGUGACUCUGGUUUGUGUUCUGUUAACAUGCAAAAUCUGGCUCAGGCAGGUGAUUUCGGGAAGGAGCAGGAAGCUGCUGUAUUGGUGCUAUAGCAGAAGAGGGAUGCAUCACGGGGGCAUUUUCAGGAUGCGGUUGAUUGCUUGAGGAAGUUAGCUCCUCCUUGGAUGGUGCAGUGCAGUGCAGCAAAUUGAAAGUUGAUUCAUUCAUUCUUGGGAGGAAUGAGCUUCUGCUAGCAAUGCUUGGAGGAAUCAGCUUAUCAAGGUAUGGUUGUGAAUUUAUGGGUAACGUUUUUUAGUGCGAGACAGAAGACCCCCUCUCCUCAAGCAGUUUCUUAAAUGGGCCGUCCAACACGGAUGACUAUCGGGUUCUUCUCCCUCUUUCCUUUUCCUUUUUUACCUCUUUUAUUUACAUUUCCAAAAUUGGAAAAAAUGAUAUUCAAAUUUUAAAGCUAAAACAAAUUGCAUUAAAAAAAUGUUCGGGACAUUUAAAAAUGUUCACGCUCUCAAACAAACUGUGGAAUUUCAAGAAAAUGUUUAUAAAAUGUAAAAACAGAAUAUUCGGUCAACUUUUAUAAAAUGUUUGUACCAUUCAAAAAAAUGUUUGUGACAUGUAGAAAAUGUUCACAUAUUCCCAAAAAUGACUGUGACAUUCCAAGAAAAAGUUUGAACAAUUUUAAAAUGUUUGCGUAAUUUUAUAAAAAAUAUUUCAUAUCAUUUAAAACAUGCGCAUGACAUUAAAAAAUGUUCAAACGUUCCAAAAAAUAGUAGUGACACCUUUUACAAAACAAAUUUUUAUACAACCUAAAAACAUGGUCAUUUAAUAUAAUUUUUUCUUUAAACAUUUAAAAAAUAUAUAUUUGACUUAAAAAACCCACACAUUUCAAAAAAAAAGUUUGUGACAUUUAAAAAAUGUUAAUAGACUGUAAGACAAAUGUUUGCAUAAUAUUAAGAAUUAUUUUUGCAUCAUUCAAAACAAAUGUUCAACAUGCAUUGGAAAAAUGUUAUUCAAAGGAAAUGUUCCAAACAUGUAAAUCGAAGAAUGUUCCAAAAAUUGUCAUGUAUUUGAAGUUUGAAGAAUGUUGAAUGUUUCAAAAACAACAUACUAAAUUUUUUUCAAAGAAAAUGUUCCAAAAAUGUCAUGUAUUUGAAGAAUGUUGAAUGUGUAUCGAAUUUUUUUACACAUGUAUACAUAAACGUGCAAACAAUGUACUUUUACGCGCAAGGAUCGUUUUUAUACUCUCGCAAUUUAGAUUUUUAGGUUGUUCAUUGUCUUGGCUUUGACGACGGCAAUGGCGGCGUUGAAUAAAAUUUCUCCAGAUCCUACUCCGACGAGGCGAUCGGUCCUAUGGUUGGGGAUGGGUUUGGAAAUCAGUCUGUUCAAGUAAGGAUGGCGUGGCGGCGGCGACAUCCUUGUGGUGGACCUGUGUCCUCGGGCUCCGCCUUUGCGACCGUGUUUGCUCCAUGGCAGCGCAGAGCUUGGGAGGAAGUCUAGGAGUAGAUGCAUAUUGUGGUCUGCAUCGGCGGCAUCUGGAAGAUUAUGAAUCGUGUGCUGGAUUCGUGGUUCAUGGAUGGCAGGUGUGGUUUUCUCCCCCGGCGUCUUAGUCGUGUGGGGUUGCCAGUUCUGGAGUUUGAUGGCGUGUCCGGGUGUUGCCCCGGUCUGAAUCGUUCAACAGUAAUGGUUUCGCGUUUGGUGAGCCAACCUGGAGGUCCGCAAAGUUGCAUAUCGGCGAUGGAGCCGCUUUGAGCUCGGGUGUGAAGGUGAUCCGCUAUUUUUUUGCUUUGGUGGCUGCUAUCGUGGUCCCAAAGGCAUGUGACAAGCGUUGGUGUCAAGUUCAGAGGUUUCUUCGGUCUUGAUUGUAAUUUUACU